UACUGGGUGGUCCGAUCUCGAAGUUUCUUGCCCACAAAAGCCGAACGGUGACGCCCCAGACUCGGUUUCUUGGUUCCGUCCCAAAACGCCAAAGAAAGGCACAAUGGCCUAGAAAGGGACGAUCGGACUUGGAACGGGGUCCGAGGCCUCGAAAGUCCACAUCUAGCUACUGGGUGGUCCGAUGUCGAAGUUUCUUGCCCACAAAAUCCGAACGGUGACGCCCCAGACUCGGUUUCUUGGUUCCAUCCAAAAACGCCGAAGAAAGGCACAAUGGCCUAGAAAGGGACGAACUGACUUGGAACGAGGUUCGAGGCCUCGAAAGUCGACAUCUAGCUACUGGGUGGUCCGAUCUCGAAGUUUCUUGCCCACAAAAACCGAACGGUAACGCCUAGACUCGGUUUCUUGGUUCCGUCCCAAAACGCCGAAGAAAUGCACAAUGGCCUAGGAAGGGACGACCGGACUUGGAACGGGUCCGAGGCCUCGAAAGUCCACAUCUAGCUACUGGGUGGUCCGGUCUCGAAGUUUCUUGCCCACAAAAGCCGAACGGUGACGUCCCAGACUCGGUUCCUUCGUUCCGUGCCAGAACGCUGAAGAAAGACACAGUGGCCUAGAAAGGGACGACCGAACUUGGAACGGGGUCCAAGGCGUCAAAAGUCCACAUCUAGCUACUGGGUGGUCCGAUCUCGAAGUUUCUUGCCCACAAAAGCCGAACGGUGACGCCCUAGACUCGGUUCCUUGGUUCCGUCCCAAAACGCCGAAGAAAGGCACAAUGGCCUAGAAAGGGACGAUCGGACUUGGAACGGGGUCCGAGGCCUCGAAAGUCCACAUCUAGCUACUGGGUGGUCCGAUGUCGAAGUUUCUUGCCCACAAAACCCGAACGGUGACGCCCCAGACUCGGUUUCUUGGUUCCGUCCCAAAACGCAGAAGAAAGGCACAAUGGCCUAGAAAGGGACGACCGGACUUGGAACGGGGUCCGAGGCCUCGAAAGUCCACAUCUAGCUACUGGGUGGUCCGAUCUCGAAGUUUCUUGCCCACAAAAGCCGAACGGUGACGCCCCAGACUGGGUUUCUUCGUUUCGUGCCAGAACGCUGAAGAAAGGCACAGUGGCCUAGAAAGGGACGACCGGACUUGGAACGGGUCCGAGGCGUCAAAAGUCCACAUCUAGCUUCUGGGUGGUCCGAUCUCGAAGUUUCUUGCCACAAAAGCCGAACGGUAACGCCCAGACUCGCUCUGGUUUCUUGGUUCCGUCCCAAAACGCCGAAGAAAGGCAUAAUUGCUAGAAAGGGACGACCGGACUUGGAACGGGGUCCGAGGCCUCGAAAGUCCACAUCUAGCUACUGGGUGGUCCGAUGUCGAAGUUUCUUGCCCACAAAAUCCGAACGGUGACGCUCCAGACUCGGUUUCUUGGUUCCGUCCCAGAACGCCGAAGAAAGGCACAAUGGCCAAGAAAGGGACGACCGGACUUGGAACGGGGUCCGAGGCCUUGAAAGUCCCCAUCUAGCUACUAGGUGGUCCGAUCUCGAAGUUUCUUGCCCACAAAAGCCGAACGGUGACGCCCAGACUCGGUUACUUGGUUCCGUCCCAAAACGCCGAAGAAAUGCACAAUGGCCUAGA
rnacentral:lncRNA from 1 species